rnacentral:rRNA from 1 species
UACGUAGGUGGCAAGCGUUGUCCGGAUUUACUGGGUGUAAAGGGCGUGUAGGCGGAGAUGCAAGUCAGAUGUGAAAUCCCGGGGCUCAACCCCGGAACUGCAUUUGAAACUGCAUCCCUUGAGUAUCGGAGAGGCAGGCGGAAUUCCUAGUGUAGCGGUGAAAUGCGUAGAUAUUAGGAGGAACACCAGUGGCGAAGGCGGCCUGCUGGACGACAACUGACGCUGAGGCGCGAAAGCGUGGGGAGCAAACAGG